rnacentral:rRNA from 1 species
UGCCAGACUCCUACGGGAGGCAGCAGUGGGGGAUAUUGCACAAUGGGGGGAACCCUGAUGCAGCGACGCCGCGUGGGUGAAGAAGCGCCUCGGCGCGUAAAGCCCUGUCAGCAGGGAAGAAAAUGACGGUACCUGAAGAAGAAGCCCCGGCUAACUACGUGCCAGCAGCCGCGGUAAUACGUAGGGGGCAAGCGUUAUCCGGAUUUACUGGGUGUAAAGGGGGCGCAGACGGCGAUGCAAGCCAGGAGUGAAAGCCCACGGCCCAACCGUGGGACUGCUCUGGAAACUGUGCGGCUUGAGUGCGGGAGGGGCAGGCGGAAUUCCUAGUGUAGCGGUGAAAUGCGUAGAUAUUAGGAGGAACACCGGCGGCGAAGGCGGCCUGCUGGACCGUAACUGACGUUGAGGCUCGAAAGCGUGGGGAGCAAACAGGAUUAGAUACCCGCGUA